rnacentral:rRNA from 1 species
UGGGGAAUAUUGGACAAUGGGGGAAACCCUGAUCCAGCCAUGCCGCGUGUGUGAAGAAGGCCCUAGGGUUGUAAAGCACUUUCAGUAGGGAAGAAAACCCCAAAGAUAAUACCUUUGGGUCUUGACGGUACCUACAGAAGAAGCACCGGCUAAUUCCGUGCCAGCAGCCGCGGUAAUACGGAAGGUGCAAGCGUUAAUCGGAAUUACUGGGCGUAAAGCGCGCGUAGGCGGCUAGAUUAGUCGGGUGUGAAAGCCCCGGGCUCAACCUGGGAACUGCAUUCGAUACUGUCUGGCUAGAGUGUGAUAGAGGGAGGCGGAAUUCCGCAUGUAGCGGUGAAAUGCGUAGAGAUGCGGAGGAACACCAAUGGCGAAGGCAGCCUCCUGGAUUAACACUGACGCUGAGGUGCGAAAGCGUGGGGAGCAAACAGGAUUAGAUACCCCCGUAGUCC